UACGAAGGGGGCUAGCGUUGUUCGGAAUUACUGGGCGUAAAGCGCGCGCAGGCGGUCCUUUAAGUCGGGGGUGAAAGCCCAGAGCUCAACUCUGGAACUGCCUUCGAAACUAGAGGACUUGGGUACGGGAGAGGUGAGUGGAAUUCCGAGUGUAGAGGUGAAAUUCGUAGAUAUUGGGAAGAACACCGGUGGCGAAGGCGGCUCACUGGCUCGUAACUGACGCUCAGGCGCGACAGCGUGGGGAUCAAACAGG
rnacentral:rRNA from 1 species